UCAAGCUACAAAGAGCGCAAGGGGAAUGCCUUGGCACUAGGAGCCGAAGAAGGACGCAGCAAACUGCGAUAAGCUAUGGGGAGCCGUAAGCAGGCAUUGAUCCAUAGAUAUCCGAAUGGAGCAAUCCGGCCGGAGUCAUGUCCGGUCAUCAUAUACUGAAUACAUAGGUAUAUGAGGGGAACCGCCUGAACUGAAACAUCUAAGUAGGGCGAGGAAGAGAAAUCAAAAUGAGAUUCCGCUAGUAGUGGCGAGCGAACGCGGAAGAGGCCAAACCGAGAGUAGCAAUACACUCGGGGUUCGGACAGUAACAUGUAUGGCAGAGCAUAGCAGAAUGGCAUGGGAAGGCCAAUCAGAGAGUGUGAGAAUCACGUAUGCGAAAUGCAAAGCUGGCAAACUGUAUCCAGAGUACUGCGGGACACGUGAAAUCCCGUGGGAAUACGGGGGGACCACCCUCCAAGCCUAAAUACUACCUAGUGACCGAUAGAGAAGAGUACUGUGAAGGAAAGGUGAAAAGAACCCCGGGAGGGGAGUGAAAUAGAACCUGAAACCUUGUGCUUACAAGCACCGAGAGCCCGUCAAAGGGUGAUCGGGUACCUAUUGUAGAAUGGUCCGGCGAGUUAAUGUAACUGGCAAGGUUAAGGACUAAAGGUCCGGAGCCGCAGCGAGAGCGAGUCUGAAUAGGGCGUAUGAAGUCAGUUGUAUUCGACCCGAAACCGGGUGACCUACCCAUGUCCAGGUUGAAGUGGAGGUAAAACUCCAUGGAGGACCGAACCGACUCCCGUUGAAAUGGUAGCGGAUGAGGUGUGGGUAGCGGAGAAAUUCCAAUCGAACCCGGAGAUAGCUGGUUCUCUCCGAAAUAGCUUUAGGGCUAGCCUUGUAUUAGAUUACUGGAGGUAAAGCACUGAAUAGGCUAGGGGCCGAGAGGUUACCGAACCUUAUCAAACUCAGAAUGCCAGAUAAUUGAUGUACAGGAGUCAGACAGUGUGAGAUAAGUUUCAUUGUCGAAAGGGAAAGAGCCCAGACCCACAGCUAAGGUCCCAAAAUAUAGUUAAGUGGAAAAGGAUGUGGGGGUGCACAGACAACCAGGAUGUUGGCUCAGAAGCAGCCAUUCAUUAAAAGAGUGCGUAAUAGCUCACUGGUCGAGUGCCCCUGCGCCGAAGAUUUAACGGGGCUAAACUAUAUACCGAAGCUUGGGCAAUGCAGUAAUGCAUUGGGUAGGAGAGCGUUGUAUGCGGGGUGAAGUCAGAGCGAAAGCGCUGGUGGACUGCAUACAAGUGAGAAUGCCGGAAUGAGUAGCGAGAAAUAUGUGAGAAUCAUAUUGGCCGAAAGUCUAAGGUUUUAGGAGGAAGGUUCGUCCGCUCCUAGUAAGCCGGGAGCUAAGGUGAGGCCGAAAGGCGUAGCCGAUGCACAUACGGUAGAAAUUCCGUAGCCACCGAAAGAUUUAAGCAAGAGGACACCCAGAAAGAGCAUAACCCGGGCGUUGGUUGACCCGGGCGUAAGGGACUGAAAUUAGAGUAGGGAAGUAUGCGUGGACUGGGGCGAGAAAAGCUGUGUGAAUAUCUAAGGUGCCCGUACCGCAAACCGACACAGGUAGAUAGGAAGAGAAUUCUAAGGCCAACGGGAGAAGGGUAGUUAAGGAACUCGGCAAAUUGACCCCGUAACUUAGGGAAAAGGGGUGCCACAGCAAUGUGGCCGCAGAGAAUAGGCCCAGGCGACUGUUUAGCAAAAACACAGGUUUCUGCCAAAUCGAAAGAUGAAGUAUAGGAGCUGACACCUGCCCGGUGCUGGAAGGUUAAGAGGAGAGGUGCAAGCCUUGAAUUGAAGCCCCAGUAAACGGCGGCCGUAACUAUAACGGUCCUAAGGUAGCGAAAUUCCUUGUCGGGUAAGUUCCGACCCGCACGAAUGGUGUAACGAUCUGGGCACUGUCUCAACUACCCGCCCGGCGAAAUUGUAGUACCGGUGAAGAUGCCGGUUACCCGUGACAAGACGGAAAGACCCCAUGGAGCUUUACUGUAGCUUAAUAUUGGGUUUCGAUAAUUUAUGUACAGGAUAGGUGGGAGGCUAGGAAACUCUGGCGCCAGCCGGAGUGGAGCCACCCUUGGGAUACCACCCUUAAGUUAUUGGAAUUCUAACCUGCGGCCGUGAAUCCGGCCGGGGGACAUUGUUAGGUGGGCAGUUUGACUGGGGCGGUCGCCUCCAAAAAGGUAACGGAGGCGCUCAAAGGUUCGCUCAGCACGGACGGAAACCAUGCUUUUGAGUGCAAACGCAGAAGCAAGCCUAACUGCGAGGGUGACGGCCCGAGCAGUAACGAAAGUUGGAGUUAGUGAUCCGGCGGUAUGA
rnacentral:rRNA from 1 species